GACGAACGCUGGCGGCGUGCUUAACACAUGCAAGUCGAACGGAAAGGCCCUGCUUGCAGGGUAUUCGAGUGGCGAACGGGUGAGUAACACGUGGGUGAUCUGCCCUGCACUUCGGGAUAAGCCUGGGAAACUGGGUCUAAUACCGGAUAGGAGCCAUUUUUAGUGUGAUGGUUGGAAAGUUUUUUCGGUGUAGGAUGAGCUCGCGGCCUAUCAGCUUGUUGGUGGGGUAAUGGCCUACCAAGGCGGCGACGGGUAGCCGGCCUGAGAGGGUGGACGGCCACAUUGGGACUGAGAUACGGCCCAGACGCCUACGGGAGGCAGCAGUGGGGAAUAUUGCACAAUGGGCGCAAGCCUGAUGCAGCGACGCCGCGUGGGGGAUGACGGCCUUCGGGUUGUAAACUCCUUUCGCUAGGGACGAAGCUUUUUGUGUCGGUACCUAGAUAAGAAGCACCGGCUAACUACGUG
rnacentral:rRNA from 1 species